rnacentral:rRNA from 1 species
GAUGAACGCUAGCGACAGGCCUAACACAUGCAAGUCGAGGGGUAGCACAGAAUAGCUUGCUAUUUGGGUGACGACCGGCGCACGGGUGAGUAACGCGUAUGCAACCUGCCUAUAAGAGGGGGAUAGCCUUUCGAAAGAAAGAUUAAUACCGCAUAAUACUAUUUACCUGCAUGGGUAAAUAGUUAAACUAUUUGGCUUAUAGAUGGGCAUGCGUUCCAUUAGAUAGUUGGUGAGGUAACGGCUCACCAAGUCAGCGAUGGAUAGGGGUUCUGAGAGGAAGGUCCCCCACACUGGUACUGAGACACGGACCAGACUCCUACGGGAGGCAGCAGUGAGGAAUAUUGGUCAAUGGGCGAGAGCCUGAACCAGCCAAGUCGCGUGAAGGAUGAAGGUCUUAUGGAUUGUAAACUUCUUUUAUAAGGGAAUAAAAAAGAUCACGUGUGGUCUAUUGCAUGUACCUUAUGAAUAAGCAUCGGCUAACUCCGUGCCAGCAGCCGCGGUAAUACGGAGGAUGCGAGCGUUAUCCGGAUUUAUUGGGUUUAAAGGGUGCGUAGGNGGUUUAUUAAGUCAGUGGUGAAAGUUUUCGGCUCAACCGGAAAAUUGCCAUUGAAACUGAUAGACUUGAGUGUAAACGAGGUAGGCGGAANUCGUGGUGUAGCGGUGAAAUGCUUAGAUAUCACGAAGAACUCCAAUUGCNAAGGC